AAGUCGUAACAAGGUCUCCGUUGGUGAACCAGCGGAGGGAUCAUUACUGAGUUAUCCAAAAACUCCCAACCCUAUGUGAACUUACCACUGUUGCCUCGGCGAGCUGCGCUACCCUGUAGCUACUUUUGUAGCGACCUGGAAGCGCGUUAUAGGCUCGCCAGAGGACCACUAAACUCUGUUUUAUUUUGUAUCUCUGAAUCUUACAACUGAAAUCAGUUAAAACUUUCAACAACGGAUCUCUUGGUUCUG
rnacentral:misc_RNA from 1 species